rnacentral:rRNA from 1 species
GAUGAACGCUGGCGGCAUGCCUAAUACAUGCAAGUCGAACGAAGUCUUUAGGAAGCUUGCUUCCAAAGAGACUUAGUGGCGAACGGGUGAGUAACACGUAGGUAACCUGCCCAUGUGCCCGGGAUAACUGCUGGAAACGGUAGCUAAAACCGGAUAGGUAUGAGGGAGGCAUCUUCCUCAUAUUAAAGCACCUUCGGGUGUGAACAUGGAUGGACCUGCGGCGCAUUAGCUGGUUGGUGAGGUAACGGCCCACCAAGGCGAUGAUGCGUAGCCGACCUGAGAGGGUGAACGGCCACAUUGGGACUGAGACACGGCCCAAACUCCUACGGGAGGCAGCAGUAGGGAAUUUUCGUCAAUGGGGGGAACCCUGAACGAGCAAUGCCGCGUGUGUGAAGAAGGUCUUCGGAUCGUAAAGCACUGUUGUAAGUGAAGAAUGCCAUAUAGAGGAAAUGCUAUGUGGGUGACGGUAGCUUACCAGAAAGCCACGGCUAACUACGUGCCAGCAGCCGCGGUAAUACGUAGGUGGCAAGCGUUAUCCGGAAUCAUUGGGCGUAAAGGGUGCGUAGGUGGCACGAUAAGUCUGAAGUAAAAGGCAACAGCUCAACUGUUGUAUGCUUUGGAAACUGUCGAGCUAGAGUGCAGAAGAGGGCGAUGGAAUUCCAUGUGUAGCGGUAAAAUGCGUAGAUAUAUGGAGGAACACCAGUGGCGAAGGCGGUCGCCUGGUCUGUAACUGACACUGAUGCACGAAAGCGUGGGGAGCAAAUAGGAUUAGAUACCCUAGUAGUCCACGCCGUAAAAGAUGAGAACUAAGUGUUGGAGAGAUUCAGUGCUGCAGUUAAC